rnacentral:lncRNA from 1 species
UGUUAUACUAGUUCUUAUUUUAUUUUCUAUAAAGAGACAAACAUUCAUUAUAGAAUCACAAAAUCUAUAUAGUAAGUGGUGCUGGUGCCCUGAAGGAAAAUGUAAGGCACUGUAAUUACACUUAGCAAGGGCAUCAAAUCCCAUGAGGAGCACAGGGGAGUUUCACUAAGGAAUGACUCCCAACCCCCAAACCUGGAGAAUGAAUGGAAGUUAGUGACACCCUGGGGCCUGCGGAGGAGUUCCGCAAAGGUCCUGAAGCCAGUUGAGAAAAUGGAAGCCGGCUCGCAGGCGGGAGGACGGAGGGAGAGAAGGUCCACGCUGAGACAGAAAAUGUGGCAGUUGCAUCAGUCCUUAUAGGAUUUCACCCUUAACAGUGGAAAGAAAAUGGAAAAUUGGAAGCAAGAGGAACACAUCAUCAAAUUUGAAUCCACACCACGGCAGUUUGGAAACCAGAAUAGUGAGGGAAAGAACAAAUAUGGAGACUACCUAGGCGGUAAUUCAGGAAAACAGAAAACAGUGAUUGGAGUUGGUGUAAGGUGGUGGCAAUGAAGAUGAAACUUUUAAAAAGCAGGCUGACCCAAGAGCUGUGCUACACUGGAGAGACCCUCGGUGAGAGAAUCCAGUCUUCCUUAUCUGUGUAGAAAUUUCUACUUUAGGCCCAAUAACUCCUUAAAGCUCUUGUUAUUUACGUGUCUUUGUUUGACUACAGCUACUGGAGGGCAAGAGUCCUGUAUAUGGAGUCUGUAUCCUCAGUCAUUAGCACAGUCGUGUGGAACAAAGGGAGACUGGUGAAUCUAGGUGAAUGCAAAUGAAAGAAGACCUGCUUCACCAGAAGAGCAACAUGCAAAGCAUCCACAUGUUGGCCACAGUUGGGCAAAGAUUUUACAGGAAGCACGGCGCUGGCAUCUGCUUGGCUGCUACAGAGGCCUCAGGAAGUUUGCGAUCAUGGCAGAAGAUGAAGCCAGAGCAGGCGUGA